ACAAGCGGUGGAGCAUGUGGUUUAAUUCGAUGCAACGCGAAGAACCUUACCUGGUCUUGACAUACACAGAACUUUCCAGAGAUGGAUUGGUGCCUUCGGGAACUGUGAGACAGGUGCUGCAUGGCUGUCGUCAGCUCGUGUUGUGAAAUGUUGGGUUAAGUCCCGCAACGAGCGCAACCCUUAUCCUUUGUUGCCAGCGGUCCGGCCGGGAACUCAAAGGAGACUGCCAGUGAUAAACUGGAGGAAGGUGGGGAUGACGUCAAGUCAUCAUGGCCCUUACGACCAGGGCUACACACGUGCUACAAUGGCAUAUACAAAGAGAAGCGACCUCGCGAGAGCAAGCGGACCUCAUAAAGUAUGUCGUAGUCCGG
rnacentral:rRNA from 1 species